GGGUCGGUAGCUCAAUGGUAGAGCAAGUGGCUCUUAACCACUAGGUUCAGGGUUCGAGCCCCUGUCGACCCACCA
rnacentral:tRNA from 1 species